ACUGCUCAGUAACACGUGGACAACCUGCCCUUAGGUUGGGUAUAAACCCGGGAAACUGGGUAUAAUACCCGAUAGGUCUCGAUUGCCGGAAUGCAUCGAGAUUUAAAGCUCCGGCGCCUAAGGAUGGGUCUGCGGCCUAUCAGGUAGUAGUGGGUGUAGCGUACCUACUAGCCUACGACGGGUACGGGUUGUGAGAGCAAGAGCCCGGAGAUGGAUUCUGAGACACGAAUCCAGGCCCUACGGGGUGCAGCAGGCGCGAAAACUUUACAAUGCUGGCAACAGCGAUAAGGGAACCUCGAGUGCCAGGUUACAAAUCUGGCUGUCGAGAUGCCUAAAAAGCAUUUCAUAGCAAGGGCCGGGCAAGACCGGUGCCAGCCGCCGCGGUAACACCGGCGGCUCGAGUGGUAACCGUUAUUAUUGGGUCUAAAGGGUCUGUAGCCGGCCGGAUAAGUCUCUUGAGAAAUCUGGCAGCUUAACUGUCAGGCUUUCAGGAGAUACUGUCUGGCUCGAGGCCGGGAGAGGUGAGAGGUACUUCAGGGGUAGGGGUGAAAUCUUGUAAUCCUUGAAGGACCACCAGUGGCGAAGGCGUCUCACCAGAACGGACCUGACGGCAAGGGACGAAAGCUAGGGGCACGAACCGGAUUAGAUACCCGGGUAGUCCUAGCCGUAAACGAUACUCGCUAGGUGUCGGCCACGGUGCGACCGUUGUCGGUGCCGUAGGGAAGCCGUGAAGCGAGCCACCUGGGAAGUACGGCCGCAAGGCUGAAACUUAAAGGAAUUGGCGGGGGAGCACCACAACGGGUGGAGCUUGCGGUUUAAUUGGAUUCAACGCCGGAAAUCUUACCGGGACCGACAGCAAUAUGAAGGCCAGGCUGAAGACUUUGCCGGAUUAGCUGAGAGGUGGUGCAUGGCCGUCGUCAGUUCGUACUGUGAAGCAUCCUGUUAAGUCAGGCAACGAGCGAGACCCCCACC
rnacentral:rRNA from 1 species